rnacentral:rRNA from 1 species
CAUGCAAGUCGAACGAAGUUAGGAAGCUUGCUUCUGAUACUUAGUGGCGGACGGGUGAGUAAUGCUUAGGAAUCUGCCUAGUAGUGGGGGAUAACUUGGGGAAACCCAAGCUAAUACCGCAUACGACCUACGGGUGAAAGGGGGCUUUUAGCUCUCGCUAUUAGAUGAGCCUAAGUCGGAUUAGCUGGUUGGUGGGGUAAAGGCCUACCAAGGCGACGAUCUGUAGCUGGUCUGAGAGGAUGAUCAGCCACACUGGGACUGAGACACGGCCCAGACUCCUACGGGAGGCAGCAGUGGGGAAUAUUGGACAAUGGGCGAAAGCCUGAUCCAGCCAUGCCGCGUGUGUGAAGAAGGCCUUUUGGUUGUAAAGCACUUUAAGUGGGGAGGAAAAGCUUAUGGUUAAUACCCAUAAGCCCUGACGUUACCCACAGAAUAAGCACCGGCUAA